rnacentral:lncRNA from 1 species
UCAAUUUGAGCAGUGCAGGACACUUAUUUGCAAAGUGAACUCUAUAUGGGUGAUUUUUAGCUGCACAUAUAUGUAAAAAGAAAUCUUCAAGGCAAACAACAUAAAAUCUUUUUGUUGGAAUAUAUUAGAGAUGGGGAAGGGGAUGGGAAAAAUUUUUGGAAAGAGCAUGGAUUUUUAUGAGAAGCCUUAACUAGGUCAAUUUGAAAUCAAUUGGAAGAAUAAUGCUUCAAUUGGAAGGAAGGUUCGCCGUCUCGAUACCAGAUUUCGUACCGGUGCCACACUAAUACAGUGUCAGUAUGGUAAGGUAUAAAAUUUUUUUGGUGCACGGACUAUUAAUAUCGAACCGGUACGGUAUGGUAUGUUCUGUACUAUUCGGUUCGGGCCUGUACGGCGUACCAUGAUUGGGAGGAUGUAAAUUGGGAUAUAGUGAUAUUGAUUGGAGCCUCUAAGGGCUAUGGUUAUUGGAUACUAAAACACUAAAAUUGUGAAUUCAUUAUUUUA